UCUAUAUGUUGUGGAAAAUGUUUGAGCUUCUGUAGUAAAGAAAGGGCACCUUUGGUUCAAAUCUUUUUUUAGAUCUCCAGAUUGGAUAUUUAUUAGUCCUAAGCUCUAAUGAUGGAAGGAAAAUUUUACUCCUUUAGGGAUGAAAAUAAGAAUUACUUAGUAUAUGUAUGACUUUGAUCUUUUGUUCUCUAUCUUUAAGUUCUUCAACUAUGGACUUGGGAAGUCAUGCUGCAUCAUCUGUUUUGAUGGACAGCAUGCUUAUUGACAUACUGGGCAUUUGUGUAUUGUAAGGAAUUUUUUGGAUAUUUAUUGUGCUAAAUUCACUAGAUAUGCUUCUGACUUGGAGGGUAUUUUUAAUUGUGGUUGGA
rnacentral:misc_RNA from 1 species